GGGCCCGUAGCUCAGUCAGGUAGAGCGUCCGGCUCUUAACCGGACGGUCGGGGGUUCGAAUCCCCCCGGGCCCG
rnacentral:tRNA from 1 species